rnacentral:rRNA from 1 species
UACGGAGGAUGCAAGCGUUAUCCGGAAUGAUUGGGCGUAAAGGGUCCGCAGGUGGCAGUGUAAGUCUGCUGUCAAAGAAUGAGGCUUAACCUUAUCAAGGCAGUGGAAACUACACAGCUAGAGUACGGUCGGGGUAGAAGGAAUUCCUGGUGUAGCGGUGAAAUGCGUAGAGAUCAGGAAGAACACCGGUGGCGAAAGCGUGCUGCUAGACCUGUACUGACACUGAGGGACGAAAGCUAGGGGAGCGAAUGGG